rnacentral:rRNA from 1 species
AUUGAACGCUGGCGGCAGGCCUAACACAUGCAAGUCGAACGAGUGGCGGACGGGUGAGUAAUGUCUGGGAAACUGCCUGAUGGAGGGGGAUAACUACUGGAAACGGUAGUUAAUACCGCAUACCAUCGGAUGUGCCCAGAUGGGAUUAGCUAGUAGGUGGGGUAACGGCUCACCUAGGCGACGAUCCCUAGCUGGUCUGAGAGGAUGACCAGCCACACUGGGACUGUGACGCGGUCCAGAAUCCGACGGGAGGCAGCAGUGGGGAAUAUUGCACAAUGGGCGCAAGCCUGACGGAGCCAUGCCGCGUGUAUGAAGAAGGCCUUCGGGUUGUAAAGUACUGUCAUCGGGGAGGCGUUACCCGCAGAGGAAGCACCGGCUAACUCCGUGCCAGCAGCCGCGGUAAUUC